CGGCGUGCCUAAUACAUGCAAGUCGAACGGUCGUUUCUAUGGAAGCUUGCUUCCACUGAGAAGAUAGUGGCGAACGGGUGAGUAACACGUGGGUAACCUGCCCAUAAGAGGGGGGAUAACAUCCGGAAACGGGUGCUAAUACCGCAUAGUUUUCUUGAUCGCAUGAUCGGGAAAGGAAAGACGGCCUUUGUGCUGUCGCUUAUGGAUGGACCCGCGGCGUAUUAGUUAGUUGGUGAGGUAACGGCUCACCAAGACGAUGAUACGUAGCCGACCUGAGAGGGUGAUCGGCCACAUUGGGACUGAGACACGGCCCAAACUCCUACGGGAGGCAGCAGUAGGGAAUCUUCCGCAAUGGACGAAAGUCUGACGGAGCAACGCCGCGUGAGUGAAGAAGGUUUUCGGGAAUCGUAAAACUCUGUUGUCAGAGAAGAACAAGUUGGAGAGUAACUGCUCCAGCCUUGACGGUAUCUGACCAGAAAGCCACGGCUAACUACGUGCCAGCAGCAGC
rnacentral:rRNA from 1 species